CAUGGAUCCAGACCAGCCUGUGCAUCCACGCAGUCUGGUCAGGAUCCAUGCUGUUCGCUUUUAAAGCCUAUUGGAAUUGGAGAAACUGUUAGCGAACAGCAUGGAUCCUGACCAGACUGCGCGGAUGCGCAGGCUGGUCUGGAUCCAUGCUGGUCGCACACCCACUAUGUUGGUUUUCCCAUGGCACGGCUCAUAUAUACAACAGUGAGGUUAAAUGUUACAAAUGGUGUGCUAUGUUGUUAUUGUCUGUUUAUUGUAAUGUGUGUGGGUUAUUUAUCUGUUGUUCCAUCAGGAACUAUAGGAGAUUAUUUUUGUCAUCCAUUUUAUAUUCUGAACAAGAUCUGUUUUAUGUGUAUUUAUAUAUAUCAUGGCUGUGAUCAUCCCAGUAGAUGUACUUAAAAUAUUGUCUACCUACCUUUGCAAAAUCAAAAAAAAAGUAAUAGUUUUGUUUGAAAUUCAAUAUGUAUCAUAAAUGAAGAUUUUCUGUGGAAAUGUAUGUGCAGUGCUUUAAUUGUCAGGUGACAAAGCAGAAAUUGAAUACCAUUGCCUUGAAUUAUAGACAAUUAGGCUCUUUAUUGGCAAAUGACCUUUAAUUGAAACCCAGUGCAUACAUAUUUAUUCAGGAAAUGACAUUUACUGAAUAUUGAUUAAUUAGGAGUGACAUUAACACGGAAAUGCAUGACAAGUAGUUGCUAAUAACAUUUACAGACAUGAGGAGUGAUAUUUACUUGCAAUAACAUAUUUGGCAGUUUAUUGAAUAUCAGAAAUGCAAUAAAUAAUAUUUACUGAAAUAUUAAUUAUGUCUCCCACACCACUGUGGUGGGAGACAUAUUGAUUUACUCCUGUCUGUCUGUGUGUCCUCCUGUGUGUGUGUGUGUGUGUCCGUCUGUCACAAAUCUUGUCCCCGCUCUAAGUCGAACGUUUCUCAUCCGAUCUUCACCAAACUUGAACAAAGUGUGUUUGCCAAUAAGUCCUCGACCAAGUUCGAUAACUUGCCAAAUCAACCCAGGCACUUCGGAAUUUUAGCCCUUGAAUUACCAAAAAUUGCUCAGGUCUUGGGGCAUAAAUGACUCAUAUACUACUAAUCCUGUGAAUAGUAGUAUAUGAGUCAUUUAUGCCCCAAGACCUAAUCAUGUCUGAUGAUUAGGCAGUUGAGGUCUUGGUGCAUGAUUGACUCAUAUACUACUGUUCAGAUGAUUAGGCAGUUGUGGGAGACAUGCGCUUUUCUCAAAAGCAGUUCAUAGUUGAGGUUUGACAUUAACAAGGAAAUGGCUGAAUAUUGGCAUUAAAAUGAAAGUACAUGUUAAUUGAGGAAUGACACCUCAUGUAAAUGUAUCACUUUUACUGAAUUUUAAUGUGUACUUAAAAAUAAAUUAAUUGAAAAGAGACAUUUACAGUGCUAAUUAUUGAAUAUUCACAUGUACUGAAAAUGAGUGGAGGAGCGAAUUUACUAUUAUGUAAUGCAAAAUAAUGACAUUUGUAGAAAAUCUAAAAUAAUUGAAAAGUGACAUUUACUGGAAUGAGUACAGUCCUACUUGCCACAACUACACCUGUCACAGAUUAUGGUCCUAUCAUUUUUGACUUCUCAUGUUUCCUUAGACAUAGCUAAUGUACCAUUAUAUCUUCUCAUUAUGUUAUCAUGUUGUGUCGAUAUCUUUAAAAUAUGACAGUACAUUCUGUCUUUACAUCAUUAUAUCAUUAUGUUGUGUCAUCAUGUCUCAUAUGGUAUCUUUGUAAUAUGACAAUACUUGCAAGUCUUUCACUAGCAUGUUUCUUUCAGGUAAAGACAUCUCACUCUUGUAUAUCAUAUCACAUUUAGGGAACAUUUUUCUCUAGUGGCUGUCAUGUGACAAGAUGGAACUAACUGCUAGAAGAUUCAGGGCUAGAAAUUCUGCAACCUAUGCUGUAGUUUUAGGGUCAUGUUUGUUGCAGUCUGGUAACCAAAGUUUAUUUUUGUAAGCAUGAUACUAAAAAACUUCAAAGUUCACUGCCGCAGCAUUUUACUUUCCCUAUGUCAGAGCGAUGUCUGGGGGUAUUAAUCACCUUGAGUGAUAGCUCUAGUUUCAGUUUAUCUUGCUAAUUCAGAAACUUGAAUAACUCAUGAAAAUUUUUGUUACCUCUACAGAUGUAUACAUGACUAUAAUGAUAACUCUAGGGUCCUGAGAUAUUUUCUAUUUCACUGUCCAGCAUCAAAAUAGUCUAGCACAUUGUCUGCUUGGACAGCUCAUUUUAUCCCAUAAUUAUGAUUGCCAAGGUACUAAGACCUUAUAUUAGGUAUUGGAUGGAUCAGUGCUUUAAUAAAGGGUUGGUGUUAUGUUCUCACUGAACUUGUUUUCUAAACCCUGCAUUGCAGUAUUAACUAAGAAUAUUAAAGCAAAAAUAUUGUCAUACCGUGUAGAAUACAUGUAAAAAAAACAAUAAAUUCUUGGUUGGUAUUUCACAGCCGAAAUAUUAGUAACAGCAUACAUUUAAGUCUGUUUUGGUUAUAUUUCAUAUGACAUGAAAAAGGAAUACAGUAGGUCACACAAGGAUUAAAAAAAAUGUUCUCUCUAUCCAGGGAUUAAAUAUCUAAAAAUAGAAGAUAUAUAUAGGAACUGCAUGAAUUGCACAAGUGAACCUCAGUGUUCUUUAAGCUAGCAGUGUUUCACUGUAUGUAAGAAUUACCAGCAGACAUAUAUUGUGAUCCAUUGCCAGUACAUUGAAAGAAAAAUGUCACCGGGAUGUGUUCAUUAUCAUCAAUAUUAUUCAUGUUGAUGAUUCAUCAUUUAAAUCAUUGCCUCCGGUAUGAAACUAUUGCAAUCUACGCUUGUAUGUGCAGUUACAUUAGUGCCAUACUGGUGCAAUGAUCUGUUAAAUAAUUAUUGUUCUUUGUUGUAUUUUUACAAUGUAAGUUGUUGAAGAAUUUCUACAGUUCAAAAUAAGUUUUGUUUCUUUGGUUACGUAUUUUGUAUCUCUAGUUUUAUAGCUUGUAUUUUAAUUGACAUUAUUUCUGUUAACUUCUUCAUGAAUUACAUUAAAAUUUGAAACGAUGACAUUGACAAUAACAAUUCUGUAUUAUUUCCAUAGGUACUUCAUGUUUCAUACUUUUGUAUGCUGAAUUUGAUUGGCAGGUUAUAAUGGAACUCGCCUAAUUAAGUUAAUGGUAUAAUUUUUAAUCUAAUUAUAGACUGUAUCAGACUCAGAAAUUUCGUAAUUUUUUAAUCCAGUAACAGAUGUAAAAAAUAAGAUAAUUUCAACUAUUUUACCAGUACAUGAAAUGUUUGAUGGCCUUCAGUAAAAUGGUAGAGCUAUUUAGCCAUUUGACUAAAUACUCAAAGUUAUUUUAAGUUCCUAAGUUGCCAUAGAAACAGUGCUCAGUGACCAUGACAACAACAUUAGAAAUCUGUCUCUGCUUUGCUUUUACUAUCCAUUUUACCAUAAUGAGUAUACAUCAAGUUGAAGUAACAGAAAAGUCUGUGACAUUAGCAUAACCUGUUGUCAAGGUUGCGACCCUUCCCAUUGUUUCAUUGCUCUUGUUUUAGGUUUUUCCAUUUGUCAAAGGUUGACAGACACCUAUGAUAAGACUUAAAGUAUACAUAUUGCCGAAAGUUUAUAAUUAUUUUCUGAUAUUAUGCAAGUUUUGAACACCACCAAAGUCAACUGUUCAUGUCUCCCUUCCUAGAUCUCAUUUCUAUAUUUGACACAUAUCUAAUAACUCAUUACACUCUGGAGAUGGUAGUGCCCCUCCCACAAGAAAGAUGAUAACUUGCACAGAUUAUAACCUGUAUAAAACUAAAGGUGCUAAAACAGGUAGAAAAUAAAUUCACUUCAAGCACGCACUUCUUUUUUUUUCCCAAAUACUUUUUAUUUUAAAAAUAAAUCAUAUAAUUUUUUUCAGUAUAAAUUUGCAAACACAUUAAAAUUUUUCAGUGGGUUUAAUUUGUAUGAAUGUUUUUUUUUUCUGUUGUAUUUUUUCUUCAUUUAUUAAGCUCACCAGAGCAUGAGUGUUUGGGCCCUCAUGGUCCUCUUGUUUUACAAAUACAUUUAUAAUAGCCAGACAUUUGUUGUCAAAACCAAGUUUAUAUCUUACACUGAAAAGUUAUUGCACUAAAUUCUUCUUGUUAUUUUAUUUGUAUACAGUUUUGUUUUGUUUUAUUAUAUAUAUAAUUAUUUUGAAGUGGGUAAUUUUUGUUUGUAUAGAACUUUUCCUAGGUUUAUUUUGCUGUAUUUAUUCUAAUAAAUGACUGUUGACAUAAAACUUUCCAGGAAGGAUAUGUUUGUUAGCGACUUCUUGCAAAUACAAGAAUAUUGACAGAACACUUACAUAUUGAUAGUGUUGAUCCAAAAGCCUGUAACUUCAGUUUAACAACUGAUAAACUGUAUCUGCAAAAUUUUCCUGUACAUUUCUGUCCAGUCGCCUUCUGAGUAGCAAAGCAAGUGAAUAGUAACAAAGUUAAGUUUGGCAGAUGAUUAAGAAUAUUUGAGCUGGAAAAAUCAAAGUUAAUGAUGUGAAGCACUGGGCCCAGUUGUUCAAAACUUUAACCGGCUGUUGAAUUAAUCGGCAGUUAACUUUUUAUCCAAAAUAAGCCUUGGUGGGAAACAUUAGCUUAAUGUUUAAUUCUACUGUAAAGACUUUUCAGUGUUCAUAAUACUUCACUCUUACAUUUGUUUUACCAAGUCUUCUAUAUUGUUGAAAUAUAAGUCUAAAAGUUAAUUGACCGUUGGCUUAAUUACCUGUUAAAAUUUCGAACAACUAGGCCCUGUUGGACAUAAAACACGAUUUAAAACUUAUUCUGAAAUUCUUUAGUCCAAAGAACUUGCUUUUGUUGUUAGAGAAAUAUGCUUCUUUGGUUUCCUGUGUUACCUUUUUGAAGUUUGGGUGAUUUAGAUCAACGAAGUUGACUUUACUGCUGUUGUUAAUGGUCCUGUUCCAUGUUGUUUUGAAGGAUAUUUAUUAGAAUAACUACAAACUACAGUAUAUUUGUUAUCCGAUUUCUUUGAGACUGGUGCAUUUAUUGUAUGAACCACAUGACAUGAAAAAACUUUGGAAAAAUUGUUAUUUUUCACAGUGACAAGAUUUCUACAUAAUGUAGUUGUUAGUGUAAUGAUACGUAGACAGACUCCUAUUAGUUGAUCGAACAUUACUUCGAAAUUCAUGGGUAAGCCAAUGAUAUUACUAAAAUAAUAAAUAGCUGAGGGGUUUAUUUUAUUUUAUGGACAUGUACUCAUUUUACCAAAAAUUAUACAGUGAAGCUGCACUGUGUCUUGUUUCUUCUCGUUAAAUGGUUCCAUUUUGUUUUGUUUUUAUAUGUUGUUUCGUUUAUGUUAUAAUAAUUAUUAAAUAUUCAUAUAUAUAUAUAUAUAUAUAUAUAUAUAUAUAUAUAUAUAUAUAUAUAUAUAUAUAUACUUUGAUUGUUAUAACUUUUUUCUCAAGAUAUGAACUGAUUUAUGUUAAUUUAAACUAUACUGAAACCUUUUGAUUCACAAAAAAGAGAGAGAAGUCAUAUUUUAGUUAUGAUAAUGCAGUAAAUGGUCACUGUGUGUCAGUGUGAUGUUAAACCCAACAAAAACAAGAAAAUAUUUUAUUCUAGGUCGGGUAACAUUCAUGGUUGCUUUAUUUUUGCUAAUACUCGUAAACAUGCAAAAAGAACAGUGUGAAAAUGAACUGGCAUUGUACCCAAGAAACAAAAUGAGGUUGGUUAUUUUUUUAUCCCUUACCCUGCUAAAUUUCUACAAAACUUGACCAUACCAUUAACUGUUAAAAGGGGUGCAUACCAAAAAGUUACUGACUAAAUGGCGAACUGUGCAGAUCAUGAUCAGACUGAACGGAUGUGCAGGCUGACCAUGAUCUGCACUGGUCGCAAAGGCAGAACCAAUUGUGUUCAGCAUGAUAACGGUUAAAAUGCAAGACUUCUGGUGAAAUAAAACUGCCAUGAAAAAUACGUAAUUCAUUCAGGGUUUGACGCGUGCAAACAUAAGGGUAGAGGUCUGCUUCAGUUCAUGCGAGAAUCAUUCAGUAGUUGAUGGUUAUAGCAACAGUAAUGCAUGUAUUGACUUCUUGGGUUAUGCUGGUUCCAAGUUUUCAAACCAGAGUGUGCUUGUGCAGUGUAUUACCGUGUUGUAAUUACUGGCUACACCAUUACACACAAUAACCAAAUUCCUCAACAGCAUCCUUGAUAGACAAAAUAUUUCAGAUAAACAGUCAUACUUAAUUUCAAGAGUGGUUACACAUUAAUGUUUACCUUACUACUUUAAGUACAUAUUAGCCAGUAAACAGAGGACUGCUUUAUACAUUGUAUUCAUACGCAAGUGUACAAACACAGGCACUCUUAUUUGUCCAUUAAAGCUGGUGUAUGUACAGCAGUACUGGUUUACAUACAGAAGUAUUUGUGUACAUUGGUGUAGAUACACAAGUACAUUUAUUCAUGUAUGACUGGUACAGGCACCCAAGUACUGGUAUAUGUACAUGGAAACUGGUAUUCAUACACUUACUAGUGUAAGUAUGGAAGCACUACUAUAUGUAUAGAAGAACUGGUAUUCAUACACCACUGGUAUAGGGACACAAGCACUCUCAAAUACUGUAUACAAAUGAAUGUUCUUUUUUUUAUAAUCCUUUAUAUAAUAUCUAACAGGUUAUGUUACUUUUGUUUAACCUUAUUCCUAUUGUGAUAAUUUGUACAGAUUUAAGAUUUUAUGUAUAUUCUUCAUGUACAUAUUACUGUUAUCUGUAUAUAGGCUCAUUUUAAGUAGAUAUUGUUUUUGCAUACAGUUUAUUAUUACAAAAAUGUUACUCUAUAAUACUGUUACUUUAUAUAUAAUACCAUAAACCUACUGUUAAGUCUUUUUGAACAAGUCAGUUUAGAAAUAAGUCGUCAUGAAGAAAAAAUAUGCCAAAUGUUUUAUAUCUGGUAGAAAACCAUACAUUAUAAAAUUUGUCAAUGUCUUUAUUUUUCUUGCACUGUAGAAAAUAAAUAAUAAAACUGAAAUGGUGUGUCUAUA